CAGUCGCCGCGGUAAUACGAAGGGUGCAAGCGUUACUCGGAAUUACUGGGCGUAAAGCGUGCGUAGGUGGUGGUUUAAGUCCGUUGUGAAAGCCCUGGGCUCAACCUGGGAAUUGCAGUGGAUACUGGAUCACUAGAGUGUGGUAGAGGAUAGUGGAAUUUCCGGUGUAGCAGUGAAAUGCGUAGAGAUCGGAAGGAACAUCUGUGGCGAAGGCGACUAUCUGGGCCAACACUGACACUGAGGCACGAAAGCGUGGGGAGCAAACAGGAUUAGAUACCCCUGUAGUCCCUGUCUCUUAUAA
rnacentral:rRNA from 1 species